UACGUAGGUGGCAAGCGUUGUCCGGAUUUACUGGGCGUAAAGGGCGCGUAGGCGGCGCGGUAAGUCACUUGUGAAAUCUCUGAGCUUAACUCAGAACGGCCAAGUGAUACUGCAGUGCUAGAGUGUGGAAGGGGCAAUCGGAAUUCCUGGUGUAGCGGUGAAAUGCGCAGAUAUCUGGAGGAACACCGGUGGCGAAGGCGGCAUUCUGGACCGAUAUUGACGCUGAGGAGCGAAAGCCAGGGGAGCAAACGGG
rnacentral:rRNA from 1 species